AGCCUGGUCUACAGAGUGAGUUCCAGGACAGCCAGGGCUAUACAGAGAAACCCUGUCUCAGAAGAACAAAAAACAAAAACAAAAAGAAAGAAAGAAAAGAAAGAGAAGAGAAGAGGUCAUUAGGAGAAGUAAGUGGAAUGUAAUGCCUCCUUCACGCACCUGAAAGGAUGCAAACUGUCAGGUUGAGAAAGCCUGUAUUUCCCAGAGUUCUUAGCCCACUGCCAGCAUGGGGAGGUGUGGCAGGGAAGUCAUGGUCCGCGGCACCAGAGAUGAGAAAGGGAUAAAGCUAAAGCUAUCACAUAAGAGGGUCUGUGUGGUGAUGGUGACCAUCAUGAUACGGUGUUGGUCAGUUUUAGAUUUUAAAGGGAAAAGAAGAUGAAAGAAAAACCUAGAUACUUGUAAGGAGUCAUUUGGUGUGGGUGUAGGGUGAAUGAAUGAAUGCCUUCCCCUGCUCCGGUUGGCAGACGCUGGAGGGAUGGACCAGGCUUCGCCCCUUUCCUCCUGCCCGGUCAGCACACUUGAAGAGAUGCCCUCAGGUGAGGGCAACGCGGGCUUACUGCAGUUGCUCCUAAUUUGCACUAGUAGUUUGGGAUGUAUUGGUCUGUCUGCGGAAGCGUGCAUGUUCAGAUGUUGCUGCGGGCUGGGCAGUGUCUGCCAGUGUGGCCCAGCACAGCAUGCAGCUCAGGACCUGGGUGGGAACAGCACAUCUAGCUCUGCCAUUGAAUUGUCCACCCCUGUUAACUGUAUUAAUCAGCAGUCUACAGACACCAGGAAACUGACCGGAGAGUUUAAAUUGUUUGUUUGUUUAUUUAUUUUAAAGAUUUAUUUAUUUAUUUAUUACAUGUAAGUACACUGUAGCUGUCUUCAGACACUCCAGAAGAGGGAGUCAUUACGGCUGGUUGUGAGCCACCACGUGGGUGCUGGGAAUUGAACUCAGGACCUCUGGAAGAGCAGUCAGUACUCUUACCCACUGAGCCAUCCAUCUCUCCAGCUCGGACUGGUUUGAGAUUUAGUGAAGUGUGACAUCCGGACAGAACGUGUAGGUGGGUCUGUAAGUGAGCUGCUUCCCAUUAUUAACAACGAAUGAUCAAGUGUCCUUCCUUCAACUUUAAACAUUUUUAUCGAAGUAGAAAGCCAACUUUCUUUUUACUAUUUAUAAGAUUAAUAAUUUACAGAGUGAUAAAAAGGGAGAGAGCUACCACAAACACACCCAGUUCUAGAGAUGACCUAUAACUUUGGCUCCCAUGGGACUCACUGUGUAGACCGGGCUGACUGGAAGUCGAGGUGAUCCUCCUGCCCCUUGCUCCCCACGGCUGAGAUGGAUUACAGGUGUAUGCCAUCAAGCUUGAUCUUCUGC
rnacentral:lncRNA from 1 species